CUCAGCAUCUCAUGCAUUCCAGGCUGGACUUGAACCCUGGGACUGCAGACAAUUUCUCUGUGGCCUGGUCUACAAGAGCUAGUUCUAGGACAACCUCCAAAGGCACAGAGAAACUCUGUCUCCAAAAACCAAAAAAAGAAAAAAUAGAAAAGAAAAGAAGAAGAAGAAGAAUUGGUAAGUGGCCCUGUGCUACUAACCCCGAUUGCCAACAGCAGCGAGGUUGCAGUGACCCCUCCGGUGGCUGUGAGAGGAAGUGGCAACAAAGCAGAACUCGGACCACGCUGAGAGGGCCGCAUCAUUUUUAUUUAUUGGAAUAGGACAUCCGAUGUGCAGAAUUCUUGGUGACCUUAGGUCCGGGGAUACAGUCUCAGGAGCCUCUAAACAUGGCUGUUAAUGAAUUGCAUCUAUUGUAUUGGUUGGUGCAUCCAACACCAAGCUCAAGAGCCCACAGUAAGCCAGCUAGGGAUGAGGCUCGGUUGGCAGGGUGUGUUCGUAGCCCUGGGUAGAAAGUUUGAGGGCUUGUAAUCCCUGCACAGGGAAGUAGAAUCGGGAGGAUCAGAUGUUCAAAACCAUCCUCAGCUACAUCAAUGAGCUGUAGGCCAUCCUGGGCUACAAGCAUGACAGUAGCAGUUCCGUCCAUCUAUGUCUGCCUGUGUGACAAGAUCUUCUUAGUUUGUGCCCCAUUGCCCCCAGAUAUAACCUGCUGUCCUGAAUGCCAUGCAUAGCUUGUUCUUACUUUGAAAUAAAUGCUUGUAUGUUGUAAUCUUAAGAUUUAUUUUUUAGCCGGGCAUUGGUGGUGCACGCCUUUAAUCCCAGCACUCGGGAGGCAG
rnacentral:lncRNA from 1 species